rnacentral:rRNA from 1 species
CACGUAGGGGGGCAAGCGUUGUCCGGAAUCAUUGGGCGUAAAGAGCUCGUAGGCGGCUCAGUAAGUCGGGUGUGAAACCCUCAGGCUCAACCUGGGGACGCCACCCGAUACUGCUGUGGCUAGAGUCCAGUAGGGAGUGUGGAAUUCCCGGUGUAGCGGUGAAAUGCGCAGAUAUCGGGAGGAACACCAGCGGCGAAGGCGGCA